CCUACGGGAGGCAGCAGUGGGGAAUAUUGCACAAUGGGGGAAACCCUGAUGCAGCGACGCCGCGUGAGUGAAGAAGUAUCUCGGUACGUAAAGCUCUUUCAGCAGGGAAGCUAAUGACGGUACCUGACCAAGAAGCCCCGGCUAACUACGUGCCAGCAGCCGCGGUAAUACGUAGGGGGCAAGCGUUAUCCGGAUUUACGGGGCGUAAAGGGAGCGUAGACGGCUGCACAAGUCUGGAGUGAAAUCCCGGGGCUUAACCCCGGAACUGCUUUGGAAACUGGGCGGCUGGAGUGGAGGAGGGGUAAGCGGAAUUCCUAGUGUAGCGGUGAAAUGCGUAGAUAUUGGGAAGAACACCGGUGGCGAAGGCAGCUUGCUGGACUGUAACUGACGUUGAGGCACGAAAGCGUGGGUAGCAAACAGGAUUAGAUACCCGUGUAGUC
rnacentral:rRNA from 1 species